GUUCCUAUAGUUAAGAUUUAACAAUGGCUUUUCAGGCCAUAGACCUUGGAGAAAAGCCGAGUGGGAAUU
rnacentral:tRNA from 1 species